CCCCCCUGGAAAUGGGCAAAGACACACCUUGCUGGUGGCACUGUUCUUAUAUCCGUCAGGGGCAGAGCAGAUGGCAGGCCUUUGUUCUUUCUAGCUGGUGCCUGGCUUGGUGGCCAAAGCUGUUUCAUGCCCAUGAUUCAUAA